AUUGAACGCUGGCGGCAUGCCUUACACAUGCAAGUCGAACGGCAGCACGGGAGCAAUCCUGGUGGCGAGUGGCGAACGGGUGAGUAAUAUAUCGGAACGUGCCCAGUCGUGGGGAUAACGUAGCGAAAGCUACGCUAAUACCGCAUACGAUCUAUGGAUGAAAGCGGGGGAUCGCAAGACCUCGCGCGAUUGGAGCGGCCGAUAUCAGAUUAGGUAGUUGGUGAGGUAAAGGCUCACCAAGCCGACGAUCUGUAGCUGGUCUGAGAGGACGACCAGCCACACUGGGACUGAGACACGGCCCAGACUCCUACGGGAGGCAGCAGUGGGGAAUAUUGGGACAAUGGGCGAAAGACCUGAUCCAGCCACUGCCGCGUGUGUGAAGAAGGUACUUCGGAUUGUAAAGACACUUUAAGUUUAGGGGUAGGGAAA
rnacentral:rRNA from 1 species